rnacentral:rRNA from 1 species
UGAGGGAUAUUGCACAAUGGGGGAAACCCUGAUGCAGCGACGCCGCGUGGGCGAUGAAGGUCUUCGGAUCGUAAAGCCCUUUUUCAGGUGACGCGGUAGCCUGAGAAUAAGUCUCGGCUAACUACGUGCCAGCAGCCGCGGUAAAACGUAGGAGGCAAGCGUUAUCCGGAGUUACUGGGCGUAAAGCGCAAGUAGGCGGUCGGGCAAGUUGGUUGUGAAAGCUCCUGGCUAAACUGGGAGAGGCCGAUCAAGACUGCUCGACUAGAGAGUGAUAGAGGGGCGCAGAAUUCGGGGUGUAGCGGUGAAAUGUGUAGAGAUCCCGAGGAAUACCAGUGGGGAAGCCGGCGCCCUGGGUAGUAUCUGACGCUGAGAUGCGAAAGCGUGGGGAGCGAACGGGAUUAGAUACCCCUGUAGU